UGAACCCGGGUCUCAGGCGCUGUGAGGCAGCAGUGCUAACCACUGUGCCACCCGUAGGGUGUGCAUUUAAGGCGAGAGAAUGGAAGUUGAAAGGAGACCUGAGGGGUAGGUUUUUUGACACAGAGAGUGGUGGGAGUGUGUUACACACUGCAGGGGGGUGCUGAUGGAGGCAGGUACAAUGAGGGCGUUUAAGGGGCUUUUAAAUAAGCACUCCAGUAUGCAAGGAAUGGAGGGAUAUGGAUCAAGGGUUAGCAGGAAGAAGUAAUUUAAUUUGGCAUUAUGGUGUGCACAACAUCGUGGGCUGAAGGGCCUCUUCCAGUGCUGUAUAGUUCUAUGUUGUAUUUUGAAACUAUUAGAAUUAUAGUCACUGGCCCCAAAGUGCUCCCUGAUUGACACCUCACUCACUUGCUCUGCCUUACGUCCCCAGAGAAGGUCAGGUUUUGUACCUUCUCUGGUCGGUGCAGCCACAUACGGAAUAAAAACAUGUUCUUGUACACACUUAAAUUCCUCUGCAUCCGAGGCCUUCAGAGUGUGGUAGUGCCAGUCUCUCAUAUUGCUGUGUGUUGCGUUGUUACCCUGGACCCUCUCUCUUUCUCUCUCUCUCUCUGAAUGAGCUCUCUCUCUCAGUCCCCUUCCCCUGGACCCAGGGGGCUGGGGUUUUCUUCGGAAGCAGGGGGAUGUUUCAGGAUCGAUGCUAACGUGCACGUUUGUCUCCACAGGAACUUACUUCAUCCCAAUCUGCUGCUUCUUGCUGUUCAAUGUGUUUGACUGGAUGGGCCGCAGUCUGACAGCUGUCUGCAUGUGGGAAUGUGUUUGCGAAUGAAGCAGAGACAGCAGGAGCUAUCAUGGCCUUCUUCCUGUCCCUGGGCCUGGCGGCUGGGGCCUGUCUGUCUUUUCUGUUCCGUGGCCUGGUCUGAGAGAGAUCCUCGGGAGAUCUGAGUGUGGCCUGUGGGAAUUUGAGUUCGACACGAUCCGAUCCUAUUGUUUACUGAGUUAUUACCCAUUUUUAUGUCAAUUUUAGUCAGCUGCUUCUCAUUGUGUGUACCUGUGGGUGGAAGCCGCAGUUAUGUGCUGGAGAGAGUGAGGGUAAGCACUCACCUCCCUCCCACUUCUCUCUCUCUCUCUCUCUCUCUCUCUCUCUCGCCUGACUCAAUGCCCACUGCCCUAGCUACACCAUUGACUCUCUGCCAAUCUAUCCCUCCCAUUUCCCCUUCUCGCUCACUCCCCACUUAUCACCAACAGACAGUUCCUCACAGAGAGCUGUCUGAUGCCUUUCUCUAUUCCAUUUCCCCCCCCCGACCUUGAUCCAUGCCUCCCCCCCCCCCACCUCCUGCCAACUCACCUCAAUACACAGACUUGAUCUGAGCAGCAACUUGAAAUAUCAGGGGUUAUGUCGGGGGUGGGGGUGGAGGGGGGAAUGGGGGGGUAGCGAAGGAGUUGAGAGAGUAGGGGAGGGGGUAGGGAUGGAGUCUGGGGACGUUACUGAGUCCCCUUAAUUUCCCAGAGAAAGCUCCAAGCUAAACUUCAGGGGGAGGGGAUUUCCAGCCCUUCACCUGAAUGUGCUGUAUGGCCUCAAUGUCGUCUUUAAACUGGCCCAGAGCCUCAGGGCAGCUCCAUACCCAGCCACUGGAGCUUUGUUCUGGGAUGGCCAAGAGCAGCACAUCUCUCCCAUCCCUAAUUGCCCUUGCAAAGGGGUGAGGCGUAAGGGAAGGCUGUUGCAGGGCAGUGACAAUGGGAUGCCCUCCCUCCUGAUCUGGGUAAGCAUUCCCAGCCUCCCACUGCUGCUCCUACCUGGGCACAGCGCAAGGCACAAAGCCUCCCUCCAGACACUGCAUUCAGUGUCAGCAAGACCCACAGGUCAGGGGGCAGGCGUUGCGUGGGCUCACAAACCGGACUGACUUUACUCAGAAUAACUGUGCAGAUUGCUGGAGAAACUCAGCAUCCACGCAGAGAGAAACAGUGAACGUUUUGAGUCCGGUCUGACCCUUUCUGCACGGACACGGCCAGACCCACUCAGCAUUCCUGGAUCUCCGUUUUUAUUUCAGAUCUCCACGAUCUGCAGUAUUUUGCAUCUAUUUUAACACUUGUUCGUCCCUUUGUAACAAAGGGGGUACCGCAGGGACUAAUGUCAACUUUCAAAGUAUUAAACUAUUAUAAUCCAAGUGUUUCAACAAAUAGGCAAUAUAGACAGAUCUGUCAGAGGACAGAAUAUCCGCAAUAACUCUCUCAAAUUGUUUUAAUAGACUAUUUUUAUGUGCUAUAUAUAUAUAUCUGUAAAAAUAAAUACAGUAUGCAAUCUAAUCUCUGUAAGGAACCACUAUAUAAGUUAGCCACAUGAAUGGCACAUCAACUGACCCGAAAUGAACAGGAAACACACCUGCAAGUUAUAGGGGCAAAGAUCAAAAAGAAAUCACAAUAUGUCGAAUAAAUGUAUGAGGUGGAACUUUGCAGAUCCCUAAACGGGCCAUGGAAAUGGUGGCAUCUCAAGGCCUAGCUGCAAUACUGCUAAACAUGUUACUAACUACAACCAGGAGGCAAACUGGGACACAGACUGCUUGGAGGUCGUGGCUAAAAGGGCUGAGGUAAUGCCUAGUUGCCUUUCGGAAAGGCAGCAGCUUAAACAAACGAGAUAAGGCUUUGAAACAAUCAGGUUCCGUAGACAGUGGAAGUUCAACCAAUUGUGGGGCUCAUGACGUACUCGUGACACCUGCCGGGGGUCAGAUGGCCAAUGACUGAGAGCCAGAAGUGGUACUGACCUCCCAGAACCCCCUGAUCAUGCAGGCUACAGGAACCACCCGGGGAAGAGGGCAAGCUCUCCGGAAGGAUAGCUCAGGAAGUGGUAGCUACGCCUGCUACUUGGAGACUGCAUUCAGGGAGGACUGACUGUCUGACUCUCAGCCAAUCCUAGUAACCAGCCUGCUGGAAUACAUGAGUGUGAUGUGUGUAGGGUUAGACUGUGGAGGCAUGAAAUAAACUUGCUUGUGUGAAUGAA